UACGGGGGGAGCAAGCGUUGUUCGGAUUUACUGGGCGUAAAGGGCGCGUAGGCGGCCACCGCAAGUCAGUUGUGAAAGCUCUGGGCUUAACCCAGAAAGGUCAGCUGAUACUGCGGGGCUAGAGUGCAGAAGGGGCAACUGGAAUUCUCGGUGUAGCGGUGAAACGCGUAGAGAUCGGGAGGAAGGCCGGUGGCGAAGGCGGCGCUCUGGAACAUUUCUGACGCUGAGGCUCGAAAGCGUGGGGAGCAAACAGG
rnacentral:rRNA from 1 species